rnacentral:rRNA from 1 species
AUGCACGCUGGCGGCGUGCCUCAUCCAUGCCAGUCGAGCGAACGGACGAGAAGCUUGCUUCUCUGAUGUUAGCGGCGGACGGGUGAGUAACACGUGGAUAACCUACCUAUAAGACUGGGAUAACUUCGGGAAACCGUAGCUAAUACCGGAUAAUAUUUUGAACCGCAUGGUUCAAAAGUGAAAGACGGUCUUGCUGUCACUUAUAGAUGGAUCCGCGCUGCAUUAGCUAGUUGGUAAGGUAACGGCUUACCAAGGCAACGAUGCAUAGCCGACCUGAGAGGGUGAUCGGCCACACUGGAACUGAGACACGGUCCAGACUCCUACGGGAGGCAGCAGUAGGGAAUCUUCCGCAAGGGGCGAAAGCCUGACGGAGCAACGCCGCGUGAGUGAUGAAGGUCUUCGGAUCGUAAAACUCUGUUAUUAGGGAAGAACAUAUGUGUAAGUAACUGUGCACAUCUUGACGGUACCUAAUCAGAAAGCCACGGCUAACUACG